rnacentral:rRNA from 1 species
AUCAACUUUCGAUGGUAGGAUAGAGGCCUACCAUGGUGGUAACGGGUAACGGGGUGUUAGGGCACGACACCGGAGAGGGAGCCUGAGAAACGGCUACCACAUCCAAGGAUGGCAGCAGGCGCGCAAAUUACCCAAUCCCGACACGGGGAGGUAGUGACAAUAAAUAACAAUACGGGGUUCUUUCGGAUUUCGUAAUUGGAAUGAGUACAAUUUAAAUCUCUUAACGAGGAACAAUUGGAGGGCAAGUCUGGUGCCAGCAGCCGCGGUAAUUCCAGCUCCAAUAGCGUAUAUUAAAGUUGUUGCAGUUAAAAAGCUCGUAGUUGAAUUUCGGGGUCAGUAGAUUGGUCGUGCCACUGGUAUGCACUGGUCUCACUGGCUCCUCCUUCCUGAUGAACCGUAAUGCCAUUAAUUUGGUGUUGCGGGGAGACUGGACUGUUACUUUGAAAAAAUUAGAGUGUUUAAAGCAGGCUAACGCUUGAAUACAUUAGCAUGGAAUAAUGAAAUAGGACGUUCGAUCUUAUUUUGUUGGUUUCUAAGAUUGACGUAAUGAUUAAUAGGGAUAGUUGGGGGCAUUAGUAUUCAAUUGUCAGAGGUGAAAUUCUUGGAUUUAUUGAAGACUAACUACUGCGAAAGCAUUUGCCAAGGAUGUUUUCAUUAAUCAAGAACGAAAGUUAGGGGAUCGAAGACGAUCAGAUACCGUCGUAGUCUUAACCAUAAACUAUGCCGACUAGGGAUCGGAUGAUGUUAAAUUUUUAAUAAAUCAUUCGGCGCCUUACGGGAAACCAAAGUGUUUGGGUUC